rnacentral:rRNA from 1 species
UACGAAGGGGGCUAGCGUUGCUCGGAAUUACUGGGCGUAAAGGGCGCGUAGGCGGAUAUUUAAGUCGGGGGUGAAAGCCCAGGGCUCAACCCUGGAACAGCCUUCGAUACUGGAUAUCUUGAGUACGGGAGAGGUGAGUGGAACUCCGAGUGUAGAGGUGAAAUUCGUAGAUAUUCGCAAGAACACCAGUGGCGAAGGCGGCUCACUGGCCCGAUACUGACGCUGAGGUGCGAAAGCGUGGGGAGCAAACAGG